GUGCACAAGCGAAGUUUUCAAGCAGAGGCAUUUAGAAGUUCCUCACCGACUAUUUAAAGCCCGGGCCGGUCAACAGAGAAAAUGCAAAUGAAGAUCAAAGUGUUUGUGAUCAUCGGAAUUAUUAUUACCAUCAAUUCAUGUAGUUGUAUUUCAAAGAAAAUAGAAGGAGAUGGAAUGUACAACGAUAUGCAUGGCAAGGAGGGUCGCAAACUCAUAAAUACUGAUGGAAGGACGGCCCCAGCCGGUGACUCCAUAGAUCAUGUGUGUCCUCUUGGGAGCUAUCCUUGCCGGUCUUUGAUUUACAGUUCUCAUGAUACUACACAGGAUCCUGGUGGACACUAAAAGUCUAUCAGAAUGCAUGCAAAUCAGAACAUGAAGUGUCACUGUAACCUUUUGUAUCUGUGAACUGUUAUUAUGCGUGUUGCUGGUAGUUUGUCACUGAAUUGUGUAUUUGAUGUUUGUGUUGUGUACUUAAGAUCAAUGUUAACAUACCAGUUCAGUACUAUCUAUUGUAUGAAAUAAAUCCAUUAUGGAAGCUCAAUAGAUGAACAAAAAAAGCAUAGUUUGCCGUAUAUGUAA